UACGUAGGGGGCUAGCGUUGUCCGGAUUUAUUGGGCGUAAAGAGCGUGUAGGCGGCCUGGUAGGUCUGCUGUGAAACUCGAGGCUCAACCUCGAGAUGUCGGCGGAAACCAUCUGGCUAGAGUCCGGAAGAGGAGAGUGGAAUUCCUGGUGUAGCGGUGAAAUGCGCAGAUAUCAGGAAGAACACCUAUGGCGAAGGCAGCUCUCUGGACGGUACUGACGCUGAGACGCGAAAGCGUGGGAGCGAACAGG
rnacentral:rRNA from 1 species